AUUAACUAAUUUAAGCAUUAAAACAGCCUUUGGUCUCGGCCGAUCUCGGAAGCUAAGCAGGGUCGAGUCUGGUUAGUACUUGGAUAGGAGACCACCUAAGAAGACCAGGUGCUGUAGGUG
rnacentral:rRNA from 1 species